rnacentral:rRNA from 1 species
AGUGGCGGACGGGUGAGUAACGCGUGAGAAUCUGCCUUGGGGUCGGGGUCAACCACUGGAAACGGUGGCUAAUACCGGAUAAGCCGAUUGGUGAAAGAUUUAUUGCCCGAAGAGGAGCUCGCGUCUGAUUAGCUAGUUGGUGAGGUAAGAGCUCACCAAGGCAGCGAUCAGUAGCUGGUCUGAGAGGACGAUCAGCCACACUGGGACUGAGACACGGCCCAGACUCCUACGGGAGGCAGCAGUGGGGAAUUUUCCGCAAUGGGCGAAAGCCUGACGGAGCAAGACCGCGUGAGGGAGGAAGGCUCUUGGGUUGUAAACCUCUUUUCUCAGGGAAGAAGCUCUGACGGUACCUGAGGAAUCAGCCUCGGCUAACUCCGUGCCAGCAGCCGCGGUAAUACGGAGGAGGCAAGCGUUAUCCGGAAUUAUUGGGCGUAAAGCGUCCGCAGGUGGCGAUUCAAGUCUGCUGUCAAAGCACGGGGCUUAACUCCGUAAAGGCAGUGGAAACUGAAUAGCUAGAGUGCCGUAGGGGUAGAGGGAAUUCCCGGUGUAGCGGUGAAAUGCGUAGAGAUCGGGAAGAACAUCGGUGGCGAAAGCGCUCUACUGGACGGCAACUGACGCUCAGGGACGAAAGCUAGGGGAGCGAAUGGGAUUAGAUACCCC